rnacentral:rRNA from 1 species
CGAAGAUACCAGCUGGCUGCAACUGUUUAAUAAAAACACAGCACUGUGCAAACACGAAAGUGGACGUAUACGGUGUGACGCCUGCCCGGUGCUGGAAGGUUAAUUGAUGGGGUCAGCCGCAAGGCGAAGCUCUUGAUCGAAGCCCCAGUAAACGGCGGCCGUAACUAUAACGGUCCUAAGGUAGCGAAAUUCCUUGUCGGGUAAGUUCCGACCUGCACGAAUGGCGUAAUGAUGGCCAGGCUGUCUCCACCCGAGACUCAGUGAAAUUGAACUCGCUGUGAAGAUGCAGUGUACCCGCGGCAAGACGGAAAGACCCCGUGAACCUUUACUAUAGCUUGACACUGAACAUUGAGCCUUGAUGUGUAGGAUAGGUGGGAGGCUUUGAAGCGUGGACGCCAGUCUGCGUGGAGCCAUCCUUGAAAUACCACCCUUUAAUGUUUGAUGUUCUAACUCGGCCCCAUAAUCUGGGGUGAGGACAGUGUCUGGUGGGUAGUUUGACUGGGGCGGUCUCCUCCCAAAGAGUAACGGAGGAGCACGAAGGUUAGCUAAUCACGGUCGGACAUCGUGAGGUUAGUGCAAAGGCAUAAGCUAGCUUGACUGCGAGAGUGACGGCUCGAGCAGGUACGAAAGUAGGUCUUAGUGAUCCGGUGGUUCUGAAUGGAAGGGCCAUCGCUCAACGGAUAAAAGGUACUCCGGGGAUAACAGGCUGAUACCGCCCAAGAGUUCAUAUCGACGGCGGUGUUUGGCACCUCGAUGUCGGCUCAUCACAUCCUGGGGCUGAAGUAGGUCCCAAGGGUAUGGCUGUUCGCCAUUUAAAGUGGUACGCGAGCUGGGUUUAGAACGUCGUGAGAC